rnacentral:tRNA from 1 species
GUGGGUACAGCUCAGUGGUAGAGCACGUGCUUGGCAUGCACAAGAUCCUGGGUUCAAUCCCUAGUGCCUCCA